GAUGAACGCUGGCGGCGUGCUUAACACAUGCAAGUCGAACGGAAAGGCCUGUACUUGUACAGGCACUCGAGUGGCGAACGGGUGAGUAACACGUGGGUGAUCUGCCCUGCACUGUGGGAUAAGCCUGGGAAACUGGGUCUAAUACCGAAUAUGACCACUUCUUGGAUGUUGUGGUGGAAAGCUUUUGCGGUGUGGGAUGAGCCUGCGGCCUAUCAGCUUGUUGGUGGGGUAAUGGCCUACCAAGGCGGCGACGGGUAUCCGGCCUGAGAGGGUGUACGGACACAUUGGGACUGAGAUACGGCCCAGACUCCUACGGGAGGCAGCAGUGGGGAAUAUUGCACAAUGGGCGCAAGCCUGAUGCAGCGACGCCGCAUGGGGGAUGAAGGCCUUCGGGUUGUAAACUCCUUUCGCUAUCGACGGAGCCACUUGUGGUGACGGUAGGUAGAUAAGAAGCACCGGCUAACUACGUGCCAGCCGCCGCGGUAA
rnacentral:rRNA from 1 species